ensembl:lncRNA
UGAAGGUUCACUUCAGUAACUUUAUUUCAUUAACCCUUGGUAUCGGGAUCAAUAUCAUGACAACUUAACACCACAGACAUUGGUCGUACAAAUGUAUAUAUUUCUCCUUCCAGUUAUUUGAAUUGCAGCUUAGGCAUGAUAAUGUAACAUGUAAAAUCUGGAAUAAAUAUACAAAAAUAUCUGGUUCAUCGACUGCCAAAAAGGCCAUCUAGGGAACAUUAGACCACGCCUGUAACAGAGCUGUUGUACAAAUUUGUAGAUACUUUUUUGCAUUUUAUUCUGAAUUAGUAUCACAAUGAUAGAAUGCAUAAUAAAAAUGGAAGGUUCUAUAAAAAUCUCCAAAAAAACCAUCUAUACUGAAGCUACUGUGAAACAGUGCAAGCCAACAACCCAUCCAUUCCGCUUGAAAAUUAACUUAAAGAUUAAUUUAAGUAUAGUCUACAAUUGCAACCCGUCAUGUCAUCCACAUGGAAACGCAAAGCGUUUUAGAACAGCAAAAAUAUCUACUUUAGCUUGCAUUUAAGACGUAAAGGCACUUCAUCCAAAUCAGCCGUUUUGUUAUCAUCCAUCAUUGACCAAGAGGAAGUAAAAUCAAUUAACUCAGUUAACAAACAAGGCAAAAUAUACAGCAUUCAUAGCCCAAAGUGGGUUCCAAGGCAUCAGAAAAGAAAAUAGGCUUUUUUAAUGCCAUAAAACCAGACACAAUGUGGCAAGAUGAAUUCCCAAUCGUAAUCAACACUUCACCCAAACCUUGUACACACACACACCACACACACCCCUUCCAUGCAGUCAAAUGAAAUGAAGUCCGGUGAGCACGAUGCCUGCAGAUGUUGAUAUUAAAACCAUCAAUCUUCCUUCAUUCCUCUAGUAUUCUGGGUGAGGAUUGCUCCCCAAGACCUGUACUCAAAUGAUGUUGAUGUCAGAGAUGUGGAUGGACACCGGCAGCUCCGUCUACCUGAGCUUUUGGCGCCCCCUGCAGCUGCGAGGGGGGGAGCUGCUGGAGCAGCUUGGAGGGGGGAAGCGACGGCAUCGUCUUCAGCUUCUUGGGAUCGGCUUUGGACGGCACGUCCUCCUCCUCGUCAGAGUCCUGGAGGCCGUAUUUGGAGAAGUGGACGACCUGGA